AUUCUCCCUCUUCUGCUUCUCGUAGACGUAACUUUUUUCAACCGCCGUCGAUGUCCAACACGAUUGGACUGUUGAUCCCUCCGUCGGCGAUCCGAUUGAGCACCGCCACAUAGCUACUUCCUUGGACAACUUGAUUAACCAUUCGAUGCUACAAUUUCUGUUAAAAGCCUAAUCUUUUUGAAAGUCAUCGUUUUUCUGUGGUUCAAUGGCUUCUUUCAACUCUUGUCCAUCUGUACCAAGUGGAAGAAGGGCAUAUGAUGUGUUCUUGAGCUUUAAAGGGGAAGACACUCGAAACAAUUUUGUAGAUCAGCUUUAUGCUGCUCUAUGGAUAUAUACUUUCAAAGAUGCCGAGAUGCUUCGCAGAGGCGUGGCAAUCUCUCCGGAAUUCCACAAAGCCAUUGAAGAAUCAAGGCCUGCAGUGGUGUUUUUCUCAGAAAAUUAUAUGAACUCUUCAUAGUGUUUGGAUGAGCUUGUAAUGGUAUGACGGAUAAAAACAAUGGUCGUAAGUACCGAAAUAGGUCAAAAAUUGAAGACGGCAAACUUGUUGAUGCAUUGGUGAAUAUGGUCAAUGUUGGAGGACACAAAGCUGAUGAUAAUGACUUUAAAUCCGGAUACUUGCAACAUUUGGAACAAGCAUCGAAAGUGUCGCUUCGUGAUUCUAGUUUAUUAGGUAAAUCACACAUCAAGUCAAGAAUAAAGACCAUGAAAAAGGAUCGGCAAAUCAUACAUGAUAUGCUAUAUGGUACACAAAGAGGCUUCAAAAUGGAGAAACAAACCAUUUCCUCGUUAUGAGGACUUGUCUUAUGUUUUUUGAAAAGAUCAUGCUCGCGAAAAUCAAGCAAGAGACUAUGACAGUGUAGAAGAAAAUGCUGACAUGGAAGAUAGCCAGAUGUCUAGUCAAGAACAACAAUCUGAUGAAAACAUGGACUAUCCGACAGAAGAUAGCCAAAUGGCAAGUCAAUACAUCUCAAGGUAGUAGGAAGCGCAAAGGUCAAGGUGAUCCUCUUGUUGAUGCAAUAAAUAAUGCUGCUCUCAUACUUGGAGAUAGACUUUUAAAAACAUCAGACAAGUUGGUGCAAGUUGAGAUGGAUUUACAUCAAAAGACUUCCGUGGUUGGUUCUGAACUUGUCAAAAUGAAUCUUACUUCAAUGGAAAAGUUUACAGCACUGAGAAAAAUAACACGUGAACCUGGAUCCAUGUUAAGCUUUUGGAACUAUGAAGGAAAAGUUCGAGAAGAGUUUGUGAGGUAUAUUUUGCAAGAAUGAUUGUGUUUGAUGGUUUAGCUCCUUUUUGAGAACUAUGAUGCUUAAUGGCUUUUGGAACAUGUAUUUGAACAUGCUUUGGUAUUUUCGCGUCGUAUUUCAAUUUUUUUAAUAGAUUCCAUUCCAAUUAUGUCAAUUCCUUUAAUAGAUUCGAUUCCAAUUCUGCCAACCAAACAUAACAACAUUCCAUUCCAAUUCCUUCGAAGUCAAAUUCCUUUGACAGAUUCCAUUCCAUCCAAAAACAUUAUGCGAACCAAACGCCACCUUAGAGUUUUAGGUUUUUUCUUCGAUGGAAGACAAGCAAGUGUGUGGGAAAAUGUUUUCAAUAGACUACCCAAAGCACCACGUGUUGAGAUGACAUUGAAGUUAAGUUUUCAUGAUUAGAUGUUUCUGAGAAAAAUAUAUUCCUAGACGUUGCUUGUUUCUUCAACACAAAGAUAAAGAACAUGUGACUAGAAUACUUGAUAGCUUCAAUUUUGACCCAUGAUAGGAAUUAGUGUUCUUGUCGAAAAAUCUCUUAUAACUGUUUCAAAGAAGAGGUUGGACAUGCAUGAUCUCAUACAGGAAAUGAGUUGGCAAAUUGUUCGUGACAGUUUUUCCAAUAACAGGCUUUGGCAACUUGAAGAAAUGCAGAAACAAAGUAAAUCUCUCUCCCUUUCUCUCUAUAUAUACAUGUAUGUAUGUAUAUUUGUUUUUGUUUAAGGAUGAGUAGAGUCUGAUCAUGGUUUAGUUCUUCGUUGCAGAAACAAAAAGCAAUUUAAGCCAUAGUUCUGCUGGACAAGUAAUACAAUGUUGACCAAUAUGAUGAGAAGCUGGAUUUAGCUAUAAAGUUUUUAGAAGGCAUGAAGAAUCUCCGGCUACUUGAUAUUGAUGCAAAGUUCCCGUCCCAUAGACCUACCUUUCUCCCUGACGCGUUACAAUGGCUUUGUUGGCAUGGGUACCCAUUUUCUUCUUUGCCUGUAGCAAGCAUGCAUAAACUUGUUGGGCUUGAAAUGGUUGAUAGCAGCAUUCAACAUUUAUGGGAGGGGCGAAAGAUUCUACCCAACUUGAAAUGUAUUGACCUUAGUGGGUCGGAUUACAUAAAAAGGUUGCCAGACGUCUCAGGGGUCCCAGAUCUUGAGGUUGAUCUUAGUUGGUUAUGGGAGUUUGGUGGAGCUUCGUCAGUCACUUGAAUUUCACUGAAGGCUUGUUUACUUGGACAUGAGUUAUUGCGGGCAGCUCAAGUGUCUGUCAUCCAGGAUCAGGAUGGAAUCUUUAGAGACUCAAAUUCUUUCCUAUUGCCAGAGUGUUAAAAGAUUCCAGAAGUCUCAUCGUGGCCAAAUAGAGGAACUGCCAUCAUCAACUAGAUAUUUUUCUGGUCUGGUCUUCUUGAAUCUGAUAAGCAGCACGAAUCUUAAGAAUGUUCCAAACUCCAUUUGUGAGUUGAAGCAUCUCAAGAACCUUUAUCUUUACAACUGCAAGAAACUGCAGAAAUUACCAGAAGAGCUUGGACAUAUGGAAACCUUAAAAGAGCUUUGGCUAGGAUUCCCUGAGAUGCGGUACUUUGACAAGUUUCUGUUCCUUGAGAAUAUUAGAUCUUAUUUGGAGAUAAAUUGAAGAGGAAGACUUCCCUCAAAAUCUUCAUCCCUUUUCCUCAUUGGAAGAAUUACAUCUUUAGUGGCAACUCUAAAUUAGCCCGGUUACCUGCUGGCAUCUCCCAUCUUUCUCGUCUUAAACUUCUAGACUUAAACAAGUGUUGCUGACUUCAAAAUUUGCAUCCUCCCCCAUCAGGAAUACAAGUUUUGAAGCCCAAAGGCUGCAGCUCACUGGAAAAAUUGGAGAUUUAACAAAAGAGUAUGAAUGGUUGUACAAGAUAUGGCUCUUUGAUUGCCACAAACUUCUACAGGAUCAAGAGAAUGAUGGAUAUAUUGAAAAGAUGUUGCAGCAGUCUUUCCUUAAGAAAUGUGCUGCGGUAGAUCAUCAGCUAAGUAUCGGUAUUCCGAGAAGCAAUAUGCAAAGCUGGUUUGAAAAAAGGCAUGGGUACAAUAUGGCAUUGGAGCUAUCUCCCAAAUUUCAUACUGAAAUCAUGGGGUUUGCAGUAUGUGGUGCGUUUCAAGGGGGACUGGAAAUACGCUCGUCCUAAUAUCAUCUUGAGAAUAUUAAAUGACGAAAAGGUCGUUCCUAAAUCAGAGAUUGAUACUGUAACUGAAACAUCCGAUGAUGAUAAUUUGUGGAUUAGCUAUAUUCCAUUUGGUCUUUUUCAGCAAAUGUAUCAGCAAUUUCAACGUCAACAUUGAUCUCAGAUCGAUGAUAAUCUUGCCAUGACUCUAACGACAAUGGAUGGUAAGCAAUCUGUAAGAUGUGGGGGCACAUGUAGUGUACAAAGACGACGUAAAAUUGAUUCAACAACUUCAAACUCGUAUAUCUGAUUAUGGGAACUCGGUGCAAAUUGAUGACGGUUAUCAUGAAGAGCUAGAUUAUGAGAAAAUGGGCUCCGCGAAUACUUAUGUGCAUGAAGAAAGUCCGAUGAUGAGAACUCAAACCUAUCGUCUCGGAGAACUAGAACGCCGGAAAGACUGCACUACAGCAGUAAGCAUUGCUGAUCUCACUUCUUGAUGAAUUGCAUGUAAAUUUGAAUAAAUUAGAACAUAAGAUUCAACAUAGGAUCCAAAUAGAAGUUGUGUUUGCUGUAUAUGUAAUUUGACUGAUGACUUGUACUAUAUAAACGUGUUCGUAGAACACCGAUGUUCGACU